UAAAAAUAUUUGCAAAAAAAAAAAAAAAAUAUCAUGUCAUGCAGAAUAUAACAUGUCAAACUGCAGGACACAGCUGUCACUGCCUGACC